rnacentral:rRNA from 1 species
GAAUCUUCCGCAAUGGACGAAAGUCUGACGGAGCAACGCCGCGUGAACGAUGAAGGCUUUCGGGUCGUAAAGUUCUGUUGUUAGGGAAGAACAAGUACCGGAGUAACUGCCGGUACCUUGACGGUACCUAACCCGAAAGCCACGGCUACCUACGUUCCAGCCGCCGCGGUAAUACGUAAGUGGCAAGCGUUGUCCGGAAUUAUUGGGCGUAAAGCGCGCGCAGGCGGUUCCGUAAGUCUGAUGUGAAAGCCCCCGGCUCAACCGGGGAGGGUCAUUGGAAACUGGGGAACUUGAGUACUGAAGAGGAAAGCGGAAUUCCACGUGUAGCGGUGAAAUGCGUAGAGAUGUGGAGGAACACCAGUGGCGAAGGCGGCUUUCUGGUCUGUAACUGACGCUGAGGCGCGAAAGCGUGGGGAGCAAACAGG